GAUGAACGCUGGCGGCGUGCCUAAUACAUGCAAGUCGAGCGAACAGACGAGGAGCUUGCUCCUCUGACUUUAGCGGCGGACGGGUGAGUAACACGUGGAUAACCUACCUAUAAGACUGGGAUAACUUCGGGAAACCGGAGCUAAUACCGGAUAAUAUAUUGAACCGCAUGGUUCAAUAGUGAAAGACGGUUUUGCUGUCUCUUAUAGAUGGAUCCGCGCCGCAUUAGCUAGUUGGUAAGGUAACGGCUUACCAAGGCAACGAUGCGUAGCCGACCUGAGAGGGUGAUCGGCCACACUGGAACUGAGACACGGUCCAGACUCCUACGGGAGGCAGCAGUAGGGAAUCUUCCGCAAUGGGCGAAAGCCUGACGGAGCAACGCCGCGUGAGUGAUGAAGGUCUUCGGAUCGUAAAACUCUGUUAUUAGGGAAGAACAAAUGUGUAAGUAACUAUGCACGUCUUGACGGUACCUAAUCAGAAAGCCACGGCUAACUACGUG
rnacentral:rRNA from 1 species